AUACUUACUUGGCAGGGGAGAUUCCUUUAUCCCGAAGUUCGGUUUUCCAGUUUAAGGUUGGUCCGUUGCACCCCGGGGCCUGCCGACUAGUGCAAUUCCCUCACACGCGGGAAACUCGAGUGCUUAAUUUGUGUUGGUGGGCGGUUUUAUGCGCGCUUU